rnacentral:lncRNA from 1 species
CAACUUCAUCCGCCGGACUCGGAAUGCCGCGAGACUUUGCGAGGGGCCUCCGUGUGCCAAAAAUAGGCCGCGGGCAAAGCCGCGCCAAAAAAUAACUGCCCGAAGGCCGGGGCGCCAAGUUCGUCCGGCGGAGAAAGGCCACAAAAACGUUCGUCCGCCGGACUCGGAAUGCCGCGAGACUUUGCGACGGGCCUUCGUGUGCCAAAAAUAGGCCGUGGGAUGUUUAAAAGGUUCGUGGUUAAAAAUUUUAUGUUAUCUAGUGAUAAAAUUUUGUAGUGCAUUUUAUAGAUAGGUAGCAGCAGCAAGUUCCGGGGCGCCAAGUUCGUCCAGCGGAAAAAGUCCACAAAAACGGGUGGGCUAUAGCCUUGGGGGGUGAUGCUGGCCAACUUCGUCCGCCGGACUCGGAAUGCCGCGAGACUUUACGAGGGGCCUCCGUGUGCCAAAAAUAGGCCGCGGGCAAAGCCGUGCCCAAAAAUAACCGCCCGACGGCCGGGGCGCCAAGUUCUCCCAGCGGAAAAAGGCCACAAAAACUGCUGGGCUAUAGCCUUGGGGGGUGGGGCUGGCCCACUUCGUCCGCUGGACUCGGAAUGCCGCGAGACUUUGAGAGGGGCCUCCGUGUGCCAAAAAUAGGCCGCGGGCAAAGCCGCGCAAAAAAAUAACCGCCUGAAGGCCGGGGCGCCAAGUUCGUCCGGCGGAAAAAGGCCACAAAAACGGGUGGGCUAUAGCCUUGGGGGGUGGGGAUGGCCAACUUCGUCCGCCGGACUCGGAAUGCCGCGAGACUUUGCGAGGGGCCUCCGUGUGCCAAAAAUAGGCCGCGGGCAAAGCCGCGCCACAAAAUAACUGCCCGAAGCUGGGGCGCCAAGUUCGUCCGGCGGAGAAAGGCCACAAAAACGUUCGUCCGCCGGACUCGGAAUGCCGCGAGACUUUGCGAGGGGCCUUCGUGUGCCAAAAAUAGGCCGUGGGAUGUUUAAAAGGUUCGUGGUUAAAAAUUUUAUGUUAUCUAGUGAUAAAAUUUUGUAGUGCAUUUUAUAGAUAGGUAGCAGCAGCAAGUUCCGGGGCGCCAAGUUCGUCCAGCGGAAAAAGGCCACAAAACGGGUGGGCUAUAGCCUUGGGGGUGGGUCUGGCCCACUUCGNNNNNNNNNNNNNNNNNNNNNNNNNNNNNNNNNNNNNNNNNNNNNNNNNNNNNNNNNNNNNNNNNNNNNNNNNNNNNNNNNNNNNNNNNNNNNNNNNNNNNNNNNNNNNNNUUCGUCCAGCGGAAAAAGGCCACAAAAACGGAUGGGCUAUAGCCUUGGGGGGUGGGGUUGCCCAACUUCGUCCGCCGGACUUGGAAUGCCGUGAGACUUUGCGAGGGGCCUCCGUGUGCCAAAAAUAGGCCGCGGGCAAAGCCGCGCCCAAAAUUAACCGCCCGAAGGCCGGGGCGCCAAGUUCUCCCAGCGGAAAAAGGCCACAAAAACGGGUGGGCUAUAGCCUUGGGGGGUGGGGCUGGCCAGCUUCGUCCGCCGCACUCGGAAUGCCGCGAGACUUUGCGAGGGGCCUCCGUGUACCAAAAAUAGGCCGCGGGCAAAGCCGCACCCAAAAUUAACUGCCCAAAGGCCGGGGCGCCAAGUUCGUCCAGCGGAAAAAGGCCACAAAAACUGGUGGGCUAUAGCCUUGGGGGGUGGGGCUGGCCAACUUCGUCCGCCGGACUCGGAAUGCCGCGAGACUUUGCGAGGGGCCUCCGGGUGCCAAAAAUAUGCCGCGGGCAAAGCCGCGCCCAAAAAUAACCGCCCGACGGCUGGGGUGCCAAGUUCGUCCAGCGGAAAAAGGCCACAAAAACGGGUGGGCUAUAGCCUUGGGGGGUGGGGUUGCCCAACUUCGUCCGCCGGACUUGGAAUGCCGUGAGACUUUGCGAGGGGCCUCCGUGUGCCAAAAAUAGGCCGCGGGCAAAGCCGCGCCCAAAAUUAACCGCCCGAAGGCCGGGGCGCCAAGUUCUCCCAGCGGAAAAAGGCCACAAAAACGGGUGGGCUAUAGCCUUGGGGGGUGGGGCUGGCCAACUUCGUCCGCCGGACUCGGAAUGCCGCGAGACUUUGCGAGGGGCCUCCGUGUGCCAAAAAUAGGCCGCGGGCAAAGCCGCACCGAAAAAUAACCACCCGACGGCUGGGGUGCCAAGUUCGUCCAGCGGAAAAAGGCCACAAAAACGGGUGGGCUAUAGCCUUGGGGGAUGGGGUUGCCCAACUUCGUCCGCCGGACUCGGAAUGCCGCGAGACUUUUCGAGGGGCCUCCGUGUGCCAAAAAUAGGCCGCGGGUAAAGCCGCGCCCAAAAUUAACUGCCCGAAGGCCGGAGCGCCAAGUUCUCCCAGCGGAAAAAGGCCACAAAAACGGGUGGGCUAUAGCAUGGGGGGGUGAUGCUGGCCACUUCGUCGCUGGAUUCGGAAAUGCCGCGAGACUUUGCGAGGGGCUCGUGUGCCCAAAAAUAGGCCGCGGGCAAAGCCGCGCCCAAAAAUAACCGCCCGACGGCCGGGGCGCCAAGUUCGUCCAGCGGAAAAAGGCCACAAAAACGGGUGGGCUAUAGCCUUGGGGGGUGGGGCUGGCCAACUUCGUCCGCCGGACUCGGAAUGCCGCGAGACUUUGCGAGGGGCCUCCGUGUGCCAAAAAUAGGCCGUGGGAUGUUUUAAAGGUUCGUGGUUCAAAAUUUUAUGUUAUCUAGUGAUAAAAUUUUUUAGUGCAUUUUAUAGAUAGGUAGCAGCAGCAAGUUCAAGGGCGCCAAGUUCGUCCAGCGGAAAAAGGCCACAAAAACGGGUGGGCUAUAGCCUUGGGGGGUGAUGCUGGCCAACUUCCUCCGCCGGACUCGGAAUGCCGCGAGACUUUGCGAGGGGCCUCCGUGUGCGAAAAAUAGGCCGCGGGCAAAGCCGCGCCCAAAAAUAACCGCCCGAAGGCCGGGGUGCCAAGUUCGUCCAGCGGAAAAAGGCCACAAAAUCGGGCGGGCUAUAUCCUUGGGGGCUGGGGCUGGCCAACUUCGUCUGCCGGACUCGGAAUGCCGCGAGACUUUGCGAGGGGCCUCCGUGUGCGAAAAAUAGGCCGGGGGCAAAGCCGCGCCCAAAAAUAACCGCCUGAAGGCCGGGGCGCCAAGUUCGUCCAGCGGAAAAAGGCCACAAAAACGGGUGGGCUAUAGCCUUGGGGGGUGGGGCUGGCCAACUUCGUCCGUCGGACUCGGAAUUGCGCGAGACUUUGCGAGGGGCCUCCGUGUGCCAAAAAUAGGCCGCGCGCAAAGCCGCGCCCAAAAAUAACCGCCCGAAGGCCGGGGCGCCAAGUUCGN